AAUAUUGGACAAUGGGCGCAAGCCUGAUCCAGCAAUGCCGCGUGAGUGAAGAAGGCCUUAGGGUUGUAAAGCUCUUUCGGCGGGGAAUACUCGCCCGCAGUGACGGUACCCCUAGAGGAAGCACCGGCUAACUCUGUGCCAGCAGCCGCGGUAAUACAGAGGGUGCAAGCGUUGUUCGGAAUUACUGGGCGUAAAGCGCGCGCAGGCGGGCGUGCAAGUCGGAAGUGAAAUUCCGGGGCUCAACCCCGGAGCUGCUCCCGAAACUGCACGUCUGGAGACCGGUAGAGGCUGGUGGAAUUCCCGGUGUAGCGGUGGAAUGCGUAGAGAUCGGGAAGAACACCCGUGGCGAAGGCGGCCAGCUGGGCCGGUUCUGACGCUGAGGCGCGAAAGCGUGGGGAGCAAAC
rnacentral:rRNA from 1 species